CCCACUGGUCGAAUCUUCAUCUCAGUGAAAUCGAGGGAUGUUACGUGUCCCUUCCAUGGCUCCCAGUUGACUCCCUAACAGCAAAAGAGCAGAUCAGAAGAAAAACGAGCAGGAGGGAGAGGACAGAUAAAGGACUUGGCACCUGACCACAAUGCUAAAAGUACCAAUACCUGGUGUAAGGACCAUGGUAUCACCAUGGUCCUAAACUCUAUCGAUAAUCUCUGGAGAAUGGUCAAGAGGACGAUGAGAGACACCAGAGACAACAAUGUGGACAAGGUAAAGGUAAGGAUAUAACCAUCAACGUCGGCCAGAGGAGGGACCCAAGUCAAAGAAGCUGAAUCCAGCGUCACAUCUGAAGCCUUCAGGUCCUUGGGGGAGUCGAUUUCUAUAAGUAUGCAUGCAUAUCAGGAUGAAUUACAGCUGUGUUUAUUCAAGUGAAUUUGCUAUAGAGAGAAAAAUACAAGAAUUCCCAAGAAGGAAGUUUAACUUUUGGUCAUUUCCAUUGUUUUAAAUUGUUAUUGUCUUUUCCUUUUGGAGUACAGUCCUUUCUGAUAUACUACUAUUAAUCCCUUCAUACGCCUAAGUAGCUUUUGUGUAGCGCUCAAGUCUUUCUCUAUAUGAAGUGCCUCAGAUAUGUCUGGCAUCUGCCUGCUCAGUUACGGUUUGAAGAUAAGCUUGCAGCUUUGCUCGCUCUUAUUAAAAUGCUUUGAAAAUGUUAUGUGAAACACAUGCUGCAAUAUUUUGUUUGAUACAACGAGGCGAGCUAAAGCAGCUGGGGCUUUAACCUCCCAUGGAUCAAAAUAUUAAAGAAAGCAACGCCAUAAGAAACAAAACCUUCAUAAACAAUUCAGCUUUUUUACUUCAAAAGCAUUCAAAGUUCAAGUUAACUUCUGCGAAAAAAAUAAUAAAAAUAGUUUUGUGGAAGGACAAAGCAAGAAAGUGGCAAACUGAGCAUUAUUGAUAUCACACACGGAACUUAAAAUAAAGUUUGAAAGAGUGCUGACAUUUUAAUGGUGCUGUUACUCAGUAAAAUAAAUGUAAUACCACAUGC